rnacentral:lncRNA from 1 species
AAUCAUUGUCGGUGAGAUGAAAAGAGAUGAAACAACAAACCCAGAAAAAUUUCAUGCUAAUCUUCGAUCUGAAAAUAGAAAACGUAAUACUGCUUAGAUCGAGCUUUAUCGUUGCUUUUAUCAAGUUUCUACCACUGAUUCCGAAUUAUAGAAACAGGUAAGCUUUUGAUUGAUUCAAUUUUAGAGAACUUUUUAUUUUUUCCAAUUCGUCGAUUUGAUUUCCAGUUUGUGCAAUUCUCUGUUUGAAUAGAUUCAUUGGGAGAUGACUGUGAAGAACCCAAGCUUCUGAGUAAGUUUAAAACCCAAUAAAUUUUACAAAGUAAUUUUACUGUAUUUUUGGAAUUUAACAAAGUAAUUAAAUCUAUCUACAUAAAUCUUCAGAGCCAUGAUUGUAAAGAUUUCAAAAUUGGUUUGUAUAUAGAUUUGAACAAUCGAUUUUGUUUCCUGAAAUAUAUUAACAUCAUGUCGUUCUUAAAUUGAUUUCAGAUAAUAACAUAGAUGAUGAUGUUGCCAAAAGAAGAUGAUUUAGAAAGAUAAGUUGUUCAUACGAUUAUUACUAUUGCAUAGGAUCAAGAUAUGUGUAAUGACAUAGAUUAGAAAGAUUAUAUUUCAUAAGUAAUAAUAUGAUGAGAAUCAUAUAUUUAAAAGCUAACUAUUGUUACUAUAUGCGCAGAUUAAGGAAAGAAAUCAUGCAAUCAAGAUUGACUGAUGAUUUAGGAUCUUAAACCAAUUACAUAAG